UUUUCUCUCGCUCUUUCCUCUUUCCAAUUAUGAGCCCUGUAUCUUCGUUCUCAAAUUCUCCAAAACCUUUUCUCUCGCUCUUUCCUCUUUCCAAUUCUGAGCCCUCUAUCUUCGUUCUCAAAUUCUCGGUCUCAGACGCUAUUCGGUUUGGAUCUGUGUUUUGUUUGCCAAAAUGGUGAUCAUGCCUCAUUAUCUCUCUUUCUCUCGCUUCUCUUCUCCGUCAUUUGCAUAUUUGUUUGACCAAUCGUGAUUGCAAGAGUUGAAGCAGUAUGCAUCAGGUAACUCAGAUUAGCCUAUACUUACCCCUGGAAUGUCUGAGAAGCAGCCACUACAUGUGGUUAUGGACCACCGGAAACUGGAAAAACUCUGCUAGCCAAGGACUGUGGUUUAACAAUUUUCAUAUCAGAAGAGUAAAAAAAUUGUGGGCUGGUGAUUUGGAUAUCUAUUGUGACACUGAAAAAUCCAGGGUUCCCAAACUUAAAGCUCCUCCUCCUGCUUCCAUUGCCCCUCUACAAAUUACUGUUGUGCCUCAUCAAACUGCACCUUCUGAUCCUUCUCAAAAUGACCAUGAUGUCUAAAAUCCUCCAAGGCCAAUUUAGUAGAUGCAAGAUACUGCUUCUCCUUAACUAGAGAGAUGUCAACCAUGUUAUGGUCUCAGGUGCCAAAAGAGAUACGUGGCUUAGAAGUUGUGAUGCCCCAAACUGAGAUUCCAGAAUGGUUUAACUUUAGAGGCAAUGAAGGGAGUCCUCGUUUCUGGGCUCAUGGGAAGUCCAAGUUCCCCAUUGUUGCUUUAGCGUUGGUCUUUCAGGGUGUGAAUGAAAUGGCAAACCAAUCUCGCUGGCAACUUGUUCAGCUCCGCUUGGUUAUCAAUUUUUAACACUUGUCAUGGGACAUUUAUGCCAUAUGCGCUAAGCUUGUUAAAAAGAUAACUAUAAGUCUAAUUAGGAUUAGAAUUUCUUUUCAGGAUUUUAACAUGCUUGUAAAAUACUUGCAUCUGCUGGGAUGCAUCCCUCAAAAUUUUAGCCUCAGAUCAUGACAAGCUUCUGAAAAAAGUUAUCAAAGAAUAUUCU